rnacentral:misc_RNA from 1 species
AAGUCGUAACAAGGUUUCCGUAGGUGAACCUGCGGAAGGAUCAUUAUCGUACAACUGAGGCGCGAGGGCUGUCGCUGACUUUUCGUCGUGCACGCCCGAGCGCUCUCAUACAUCCACCUCACCCCUAUGUGCACCACCGCGUGGGUCCCCUUUCGGGGGGGCUCGCGUUUUCACACACAAACUCGAUACAGUGUAGAAUGUCCUUCUUUUGCGAUCACACGCAAUUAAUACAACUUUCAACAACGGAUCUCUUGGCUCUC